rnacentral:rRNA from 1 species
UACGUAGGGUGCAAGCGUUAAUCGGAAUUACUGGGCGUAAAGCGUGCGCAGGCGGUUUUGUAAGUUUGUCGUGAAAUCCCCGGGCUCAACCUGGGAAUGGCGAUGAAGACUGCAAGGCUAGAAUCUGGCAGAGGGGGGGUAGAAUUCCACGUGUAGCAGUGAAAUGCGUAGAGAUGUGGAGGAACACCGAUGGCGAAGGCAGCCCCCUGGGUCAAGAU